AUCUUAUCAAGAGCGGCAGAGGGAAUGGCCCAAUGAAGCCCAACAACCGUUGAUAUCGGUCAGAAAGGCGCUGGUUGGAGCAGGUUGGUUCUGGAAGAUAAGAU
rnacentral:ncRNA from 2 species